UACAGAGGUCCCAAGCGUUGUUCGGAUUCACUGGGCGUAAAGGGUGCGUAGGUGGUGAGGUAAGUCGGAUGUGAAAGCUCGGAGCUCAACUCCGAAAUGGCAUUGGAAACUACCUUGCUCGAGGGUUGGAGGGGGGACUGGAAUACUUGGUGUAGCAGUGAAAUGCGUAGAUAUCAAGUGGAACACCUGAGGCGAAGGCGGGUUGCUGGGCCGACACUGACGCUGAGGCGCGAAAGCCAGGGGAGCAAACGGG
rnacentral:rRNA from 1 species